AGCCCUCACGGUUGGGUCCCUGCCACCAUGGCAACACUCUGGUUUCUGAGCUGGAGUGGCCAAGGCACAAUGGGGUGGUUCCAUGGCCCAGAAGCACUCUAGCUACAGAUUAGUCAUAUGAUACUUCAAAAUCUGUGAUUCCAUGAAGCCAAGAGUAGCUCUUCAACAGGAAAUGAAUGAGUGCUUCAGCUUCUGAUCCCAUUAGUAAGAAAAUACAGUCUUAUGAGCAAUGAUGGAGCUGCAUCUCUUAGGGGCAUUUGAUUCCCAAGAGACCAAAGAGCAAAGAGAAUGUCAAUUUAAAAAAAUCAAAUGUUUCCAUGACUUAGCUAUUUAACUGCUUUAAAAUGAAUGAAUGCUGCUUCAAGUUCUUUCAAAUACCCCACAUCUUGGCAACAACGAAAGGAAUUAACAUGAAGAAAAUUUACAAUCUUUCAUCACAUCGAACAAUGUCCCACAUUUGAAAAGUUCACAGCACAGAUUUCUGGUUACUGAAAGAAAGGAAAGACCUUCUUUGGAUUUGAAUAAACAGAUGGACUUUCUUCUCCU
rnacentral:lncRNA from 1 species